rnacentral:rRNA from 1 species
AAUUGGAAUGAGUACACCUUAAAUCGUUUAACGAGUAUCAAUUGGAGGGCAAGUCUGGUGCCAGCAGCCGCGUUAAUUCCAGCUCCAAUAGCGUAUAUUAAAGUUGCUGCAGUUAAAAAGCUCGUAGUUGGAUCUGGGGCUUGAGGUCGCUGUCUAUCGUUUCGGCGAUGACGGUGAUGCUCAGCUCUGCUUGCCGGUGACUGUUGCGGUGUUCUUCACUGAGCGCUGUAGCAGCACGGCACGUUUACUUUGAAAAAAUUAGAGUGCUCAAAGCGUGCUUGUCGCUUGAAUAAUGUUGCAUGGAAUAAUGGAAUAGGACCUCGGUUCUAUUUUGUUGGUUUUCGGAGCUUGAGGUAAUGAUUAAGAGGGACGAACGGGGGCAUUCGUAUUGCGGUGUUAGAGGUGAAAUUCUUGGAUCGCCGCAAGACGGACUACUGCGAAAGCAUUUGCCAAGAACGCUUUCAUUAAUUAAGAACGAAAGUCAGAGGUUCGAAGACGAUCAGACACCGUCCUAGUUCUGACCAUAAACGAUGCCGACCAGCGAUCCGUAGUGGUUGCUUUAUGGACCCUACGGGCAGCCUCCGGGAAACCAAAGUAUUUGGGUUCCGGGGGAAGUAUGGUUGCAAAGCUGAAACUUAAAGGAAUUGACGGAAGGGCACACCAGGAGUGGAGCCUGCGGCUUAAUUUGACCCAACACGGGAAAACUCACCCGGUCCGGACACCGUAAGGAUUGACAGACUGAUAGCUCUUUCUUGAUUCGGUGGAUGGUGGUGCAUGGCCGUUCUUAGUUGGUGGAGUGAUUUGUCUGGUUAAUUCCGAUAACGAACGAGACUCUAGCCUGCUAAGUAGUGUUGCUAUUGUUAUAUGGUUGACACUUCUUAGAGGGACAAGUGGCAUUUAGCCACGCGAAAUUGAGCAAUAACAGGUCUGUGAUGCCCUUAGAUGUCCGGGGCCGCACGCGCGCUACACCGGAGAAUUCAGCGUGUGUUAUCCAAGUCCGAAAGGACUGGGUAAUCCGUUGAACCUUCUUCGUGCUUGGGACUGUGGCUUGGAACUAUUCCACAUGAACGAGGAAUUCCUAGUAAUUGCAAGUCAUAAGCUUGCGUUGAUUACGUCCCUGCCCUUUGUACACACCGCCCGUCGCUACUACCGAUUGAAUGGUUUAGCAAGGUCCUCGGAUCGUGGCCGUAGGGGCACGCAAGUGUUUCUGCGGUUUGCGAGAAGACGACCAAACUUGAUCAUUUAGA